rnacentral:rRNA from 1 species
GAGUCAACGCUGGCGGCGUGCCUAACACAUGCAAGUCGAACGCGAAAGUCCCGCAAGGGAUUAGUAGAGUGGCAAACGGGUGAGUAACACGUGGGUGACCUGCCUUCGAGUGGGGGAUAACGUCCCGAAAGGGACGCUAAUACCGCAUGACAUCCUGUCUUUGAAAAGGUGGAGCUUAAAGCCGGGAUCGCAAGACCUGGCGCUUGAAGAGGGG